rnacentral:rRNA from 1 species
AUAUUGCACAAUGGGGGGAACCCUGAUGCAGCGACGCCGCGUGGGUGAAGGAGCGUUUCGGCGCGUAAAGCCCUAUCGGCAGGGAAGAAGGAGGACGGUACCUGACUAAGAAGCCCCGGCUAACUACGUGCCAGCAGCCGCGGUAAUACGUAGGGGGCAAGCGUUAUCCGGGUUUACUGGGUGUAAAGGGGGCGCAGACGGCAGCGCAAGCCAGGAGUGAAAGCCCGGGGCCCAACCCCGGGACUGCUCUUGGAACUGCGCGGCUGGAGUGCAGGAGGGGCAGGCGGAAUUCCUGGUGUAGCGGUGAAAUGCGUAGAUAUCAGGAGGAACACCGGUGGCGAAGGCGGCCUGCUGGACUGCGACUGACGUUGAGGCCCGAAAGCGUGGGGAGCAACCAGG